rnacentral:misc_RNA from 1 species
GAUGAAGAACGUAGUGAAAUGCGAUAAGUAAUGUGAAUUGCAGAAUUCAGUGAAUCAUCGAAUCUUUGAACGCACCUUGCGCUCCUUGGUAUUCCGAGGAGCAUGCCUGUUUGAGUGUCAUUAAUAUAUCAACCUUCUCUUUUUUGAGUUGUUUGGAUGUGGGGGUUUGCUGGCCUCUUAAAUGAUUCAGCUCCCCUGAAAUGCAUUAGCAGAACAACCUGUUCAUUGGCGUGAUAAUUAUCUAUGCUAUUGAAUGUGAGGGCAGUUCAGCUUUCUAACCGUCCUUGGACAAUUCAUCAUUAAUGUGACCUCAAAUCAGGUAGGACUACCCGCUGAACUUAAGCAUAUCAAUAAGCGAGGA